rnacentral:rRNA from 1 species
AGGACGAACGCUGGCGGCGUGCCUAACACAUGCAAGUCGAACGGGGGUAGCAAUACCCCAGUGGCGAACGGGUGCGUAACACGUGAAGAACUUGUCCAUCGGCGGGGGAUAGCCGGCCCAACGGCCGGGUAAUACCGCGUACGCCGUCUGAAGCGCAUGCUUCGGCCGGGAAAGCAGCAAUGCACCGAUGGAGAGCUUCGCGGCCUAUCAGCUAGUUGGCGGGGUAAUGGUCCACCAAGGCGACGACGGGUAGCUGGUCUGAGAGGAUGACCAGCCACAUUGGGACUGAGACACGGCCCAGACUCCUACGGGAGGCAGCAGUGGGGAAUAUUGCGCAAUGGGGGAAACCCUGACGCAGCGACGCCGCGUGUGGGAUGACGGCCUUCGGUUGUAACCACUGUCGCGAGGGACGAAAAAGUGACGGUACCUCGAAGGAAGCACCGGCUAACUCUGUGCCAGCAGCCGC